GUGGGGAAUAUUGGGCAAUGGGCGCAAGCCUGACCCAGCAACGCCGCGUGAAGGAAGAAGGCUUUCGGGUUGUAAACUUCUUUUAUCAGGGACGAUAAUGACGGUACCUGAUGAAUAAGCUCCGGCUAACUACGUGCCAGCAGCCGCGGUAAUACGUAGGGAGCAAGCGUUAUCCGGAUUUACUGGGUGUAAAGGGCGUGUAGGCGGGACUGCAAGUCAGAUGUGAAAACUCGGGGCUCAACCCCGAGCCUGCAUUUGAAACUGUAGUUCUUGAGUGGUGGAGAGGCAAAUGGAAUUCCUAGUGUAGCGGUGAAAUGCGUAGAUAUUAGGAAGAACACCAGUGGCGAAGGCGAUUUGCUGGACACUAACUGACGCUGAGGCGCGAAAGCGUGGGGAGCAAACAGGA
rnacentral:rRNA from 1 species